rnacentral:rRNA from 1 species
AGACGGGGGGGGCGAGCGUUGUUCGGAAUUACUGGGCGUAAAGGGCGCGCAGGCGGCCUGGGAAGUCUUGGGUGAAAGCCCCCGGCUCAACCGGGGAAUGGCCUGAGAAACCACUAGGCUGGAGUGCUAGAGAGGGAAGCGGAAUUCCCGGUGGAGCGGUGAAAUGCGUAGAUAUCGGGAGGAACACCAGAGGCGAAGGCGGCUUCCUGGACAGACACUGACGCUGAGGCGCGAAAGCUAGGGGAGCAAACGGUAUUAGAUACCCCAGUAGUCC